rnacentral:rRNA from 1 species
CGGGUAACGGAGAAUUAGGGUUCGAUUCCGGAGAGGGAGCCUGAGAAACGGCUACCACAUCUACGGAAGGCAGCAGGCGCGUAAAUUACCCAAUCCCAAUUCGGGGAGGUAGUGACAAGAAAUAACAACUCGGGCGGCGCAAGCCGUUGCGAGAUUGCAAUGGGUACAAUUUAAAACACUUAACGAGUAACAAUUGGAGGGCAAGUCUGGUGCCAGCAGCCGCGGUAAUUUCAGCUCCAAUAGCGUAUAUUAAAGUUGUUGCAGUUAAAAAGCUCGUAGUCGAAGUUCUGACUGGCCCUGUUUCCGGCUCCGGUCGACUCAGGGCCUAGUCAUCCGUCGGAGAACCCUUGUCGUCCUUUACUGGUCGCUUGGGGGAACUGACCCUUUACUUUGAAAAAAUUAGAGUGUUUCAGGCAGGCUCUCGCCCGAAUACUCCAGCAUGGAAUAAUGGAAUAGGACUUUCUUCUAUUUUGUUGGUUAUUAGUGGAAAGUAUGAUUAAUAGGGACAGUUGGGGGCAUUCGUACUUAAUUGUCAGAGGUGAAAUUCUUGGAUUUAUUAAAGACGAACUAAUGCGAAAGCAUUUGCCAAGGAUGUUUU